AUACCUUUCUCGGCCUUUUGGCUAAGAUCAAGUGUAGUAUCUGUUCUUAUCAGUUUAACAUCUGAUAUGUGGAUCAUUUGAUCCACACGAUAUUAAAUUAAUUUUUUUAGGGGGAGAUUUUAUACCAGUAGCUUGCUAUUGAGAUUCUCAAGUGUCGCUCAUGUUUUGCACUAUAGCAUGAGUUCGGCGCAUCCCAC
rfam:Cicer arietinum chromosome Ca8, whole genome shotgun sequence.